AGAUUAAGUUAUAAAGGGCGCACGGUGGAUGCCUAGACACUAGGAGCCGAUGAAGGACGUAACUAACGACGAUACGCCUCGGGGAGCUGUAAGUAAGCUUUGAUCCGGGGAUCUCCGAAUGGGGGAACCCAAAUAUCGUAAUGGAUAUUUACUUGUUCGUGAAUACAUAGCGAUCAAGAGGAACACGCAAUGAACUGAAACAUCUAAGUAGUUGCAGGAAGAGAAAGAAAUUCGAUUCCCUGAGUAGCGGCGAGCGAAACGGGAACAGCCCAAACUAAAGAGCUUGCUCUUUAGGGUUGUAGGACUGAUGUUGUGAGAACAAAAGGUGAAGAUAGUUGAACAAGUUGGAAAGCUUGGCCAAAGAGAGUGAAAGCCUCGUAAACGAAAUCCGACCCACUCCAUUCAGUAUCCUGAGUACGGCGGAACACGAGAAACUCCGUCGGAAUCUGGGAGGACCAUCUCCCAAGGCUAAAUACUCCCUAGUGAUCGAUAGUGAACCAGUACCGUGAGGGAAAGGUGAAAAGAACCCCGGAAGGGGAGUGAAAUAGAUCCUGAAACCGUGUGCCUACAAGUAGUCAGAGCCCGUUUAUGGGUGAUGGCGUGCCUUUUGUAGAAUGAACCGGCGAGUUACGUUAACAUGCAAGGUUAAGAUGAAAAGUCGGAGCCGGAGCGAAAGCGAGUCUGAAUAGGGCGACUAAGUAUGUUGACGUAGACCCGAAACCAAGUGACCUACCCAUGACCAGGUUGAAGAUGCGGUAAAACGCAUUGGAGGACCGAACUCGUGUAUGUUGAAAAAUGCUGAGAUGAGUUGUGGGUAGCGGUGAAAUUCCAAACGAACUUGGAGAUAGCUGGUUCUCUCCGAAAUAGCUUUAGGGUUAGCCUCGGGGAUUAGGAUCGUGGAGGUAGAGCACUGUUUGGACUAGGGGCCCGUCUUGGGUUACUGAAUUCAGAUAAACUCCGAAUACCAUUGAUCUAUACCCGGGAGUCAGACGAUGAGUGAUAAGAUCCACCGUCGAAAGGGAAACAGCCCAGAUCACCAGUUAAGGUCCCAAAAUUCAUGCUAAGUGGAAAAGGAUGUGGAAACGCAUAGACAACUAGGAUGUUGGCUCAGAAGCAGCCAUUCAUUCAAAGAGUGCGUAAUAGCUCACUAGUCGAGUGAUUCUGCGCCGAAAAUGUACCGGGGCUAAGCAUGAUACCGAAACUGUGGAUGUGUCGUAAGACACGUGGUAGGAGAGCGUUGUAAGAGCAUUGAAGCUGUACCGUGAGGAGCAGUGGAGUUCUUAGAAGUGAGAAUGCCGGUAUGAGUAACGAAAGACCAGUGAGAAUCUGGUCGGCCGCAAGACUAAGGUUUCCUGGGGAAGGCUCGUCCUCCCAGGGUUAGUCGGGGCCUAAGAUGAGACCGAGAGGUGUAAUCGAUGGAUAACAGGUUGAUAUUCCUGUACUAGUUUAUUUUGUUUGAACGAUGGAAGAACGCAGGAGGAUGAUGUGUGCGCGCUGAUGGAUAUGCGCGUCCAAGCAGUAAGUCUUGAGUUGAGUCAAAUGCUUAGCUCUUUAAGGAC
rnacentral:rRNA from 1 species